rnacentral:tRNA from 1 species
GGGCCUGUAUCUCAUAGGAUUAGAGAACGUGGCUACGAUCCAUGGUGUCGGGGGUUCGAAUCCCUCCUCACCCA